GGGGAAUAUUGGGCAAUGGGGGCAACCCUGACCCAGCGACGCCGCGUGAGGGAAGACGGUUUUCGGAUUGUAAACCUCUGUCUUCAGGGACGAUAAUGACGGUACCUGAGGAGGAAGCCACGGCUAACUACGUGCCAGCAGCCGCGGUAAUACGUAGGUGGCAAGCGUUGUCCGGAAUUACUGGGUGUAAAGGGAGCGUAGGCGGGACUGCAAGUUGAAUGUGUAAUCUAUCGGCUCAACCGAUAAACUGCGUUCAAAACUGUGGUUCUUGAGUGAAGUAGAGGCAAGCGGAAUUCCUAGUGUAGCGGUGGAAUGCGUAGAUAUUAGGAGGAACACCAGUGGCGAAGGCGGCUUGCUGGGCUUUUACUGACGCUGAGGCUCGAAAGCGUGGGGAGCAAAC
rnacentral:rRNA from 1 species